GACUGCUCUGGCAGCCUAGUGGUUAGAGCAUCCACCUCAGAUGUGGAAGGUCAUGAGUUCAAUCCCUGGCCGAGUCA